UACAGAGGUCCCGAGCGUUGUUCGGAUUCACUGGGCGUAAAGGGUGCGUAGGCGGUUCUGAAAGUCUGAUGUGAAAUCUCCAGGCCCAACCUGGAAACGGCAUUAGAAACUACAGGGCUAGAGGCUUGGAGGGGGAACUGGAAUGCUCGGUGUAGCAGUGAAAUGCGUAGAGAUCGAGCGGAACACCAGUGGCGAAGGCGAGUUCCUGGACAAGUCCUGACGCUGAGGCACGAAAGCCGGGGGAGCAAACAGG
rnacentral:rRNA from 1 species